rnacentral:rRNA from 1 species
CCAGCAUUUAGUUGGGCACUCUAAGGGGACUGCCGGUGAUAAGCCGAGAGGAAGGUGGGGGAUGACGUCAAGUCCUCAUGGCCCUUACGGGCUGGGCUACACACGUGCUACAAUGGUGGUGACAGUGGGCAGCGAGCACGCGAGUGUGAGCUAAUCUCCAAAAGCCAUCUCAGUUCGGAUUGCACUCUGCAACUCGAGUGCAUGAAGUUGGAAUCGCUAGUAAUCGCGGAUCAGCAUGCCGCGGUGAAUACGUUCCCGGGCCUU